rnacentral:rRNA from 1 species
GACGAACCGAGCGACCGUUAUUCGGAAUCACUGGGCGUAAAGGGCGCGUAGGUGGCGCGGGCAGUCAACGGUGAAAGUUCGGGGCUCAACCCUGAAUCGGCCGUCGAUACUCCCGGGCUUGAGCACUGUAGAGGCAGAUGGAAUUCCGGGUGUAGCGGUGGAAUGCGUAGAGAUCCGGAAGAACACCGGUGGCGAAGGCGGUCUGCUGGGCAGUAGCUGACACUGAGGCGCGACAGCGUGGGGAGCAAACAGG